GGUCAUCUUCCCAGAGUUGCUCUCUUCUCUGACCUCAAGCUGAGCAAGUCACAGGGAACAAACUCGUAAGCAGCUUUCCUCGGUGGUUUCUGCCUCUGCUCCUGCGCUCCAGGUCAGGAGGUGAGGAUGCAAGCUGCUUCUGGGUCGGCACAGGCCCUUCCUUCAGGGCGCUUCAGGUUCUCUACAGCAUCUCCUCGCCUACGGUGGAUUCUAACCACUACUGGUGUCGGUCUACGGUCAACUUUCACUGUUAGCACAGCCUCAGGCUUCUGCAACGUCUGGACAGCUGCUGCAGCUGAUUGUUUAUCCUAAACACCCUGAGGGAAUGUCUGACACAGGGAGAGCUGGCUCCACUUACAGCCUAAAGAUUGUGUGCAGCGCUGAGUUCUGCCUGGAGAAGAGGAGUCAAGAGAUCAGUGUUUAUGUCUGAAGCUGUAGCACAACCCAAACUUCUCUACGUUUGGAGAGGAGCCUGGUCUCCAAGCAGCCUUUAUCUUCACAGCCCCCUGACCUCAGCAGCUGCGCCCUCAGUAGUCAUUCAGCAGCACCCACCCUGACUUGUUUGUCACUUGGUGCAUUUGGAAAAAAAUGACUUUCCAAGGAGUCUGGCUGGCAUGACCCAUCAGCUGCCUGUUGGGCAGCGUCUGACUGGUGGGCCUCACUCCUCCACCCAGGCCGCUGAAAGCUGGUCUGCCCUGUUCUGAGCUCUGCUCACAGUUACUGCCUUCAAGUCGAGGUGUAUACCUUUAAUUUAUUCUGGAAAAACUUCCCACAGGCAACCUGGACUUUCCCUGGAAGCCAGAACUGUGAGCUUACUGGAGCACACUGGAGGGGUCUACUGGGAAGUGCCCUGGCAGGAGGUUGGGGGCUGUGGUCUCUUUGUGUCCCAGGGAAAAUGCCACUAGCCAUGGUGAAGAAGGGGUCACCCCGUUGAGACCAACCAUCUCACCCCUUCUUUUCUGAAGCAUGAAGCUAGGGAGGACAAAGCUCUGAGUCUCUAGCAAGUUUCACGCCCUGGACUUUCCAAACAUUUUAUCUCUGCAGCAAAAGAAGGACACUGCACCUUGAUUUAAUGAGCUCCAUUGGGGUUGCAGUGAGCACACUGCAGACCGUGAGAGGCUAGGACUGCCCCCCUGCCCCUGACUUCUGCCCCUUGCCCCCUGCCUCCUGCCCCCUGCAUCCUGCCCCCUGCCUCCUCACCUU